GCACCACUGACGAGUCCCACAAUAGGACGAAACGGCCGUUCAGUGC
rnacentral:hammerhead_ribozyme from 1 species